rnacentral:rRNA from 1 species
UACAGAGGCCCCAAGCGUUACUGAGAAUCACUGGGUUUAAAGGGUGCGUAGGUGGCGCGUUAAGUCCGUUGUGAAAUCCCUCGGCUCAACCGAGGAACUGCCGUCCAAACUGCUUGGCUUGAGACCGGGAGAGGUGAGUGGAAUUCCCAGUGUAGCGGUGAAAUGCGUAGAUAUUGGGAGGAACACCAGUGGCGAAGGCGGCUCACUGGACCGGUACUGACGCUGAGGCGCGAAAGCGCGGGGAGCAAACGGG